CGGACGUGGGGAACCGUACCGUAUGCAGGGGGACAACAGUCAGAAAUGACUGCUAAUACCGCAUAAGCACACAAUGCUGCAUGGCAUGGUGUGAAAAGAUUUAUCGGCAUACGAUGGCCCCGCGUCUGAUUAGCCAGUUGGCAGGGUAACGGCCUACCAAAGCAACGAUCAGUAGCCGGCUUGAGAGAGUGACCGGCCACAUUGGGACUGAGACACGGCCCAGACUCCUACGGAAGGCAGCAG
rnacentral:rRNA from 1 species